rnacentral:rRNA from 1 species
AUUGAACGCUGGCGGCAGGCCUAACACAUGCAAGUCGAGCGGAUGAAGGGAGCUUGCUCCUGGAUUCAGCGGCGGACGGGUGAGUAAUGCCUAGGAAUCUGCCUGGUAGUGGGGGAUAACGUCCGGAAACGGGCGCUAAUACCGCAUACGUCCUGAGGGAGAAAGUGGGGGAUCUUCGGACCUCACGCUAUCAGAUGAGCCUAGGUCGGAUUAGCUAGUUGGUGGGGUAAAGGCCUACCAAGGCGACGAUCCGUAACUGGUCUGAGAGGAUGAUCAGUCAAACCGGAACUGAGACACGGUCCAGAACCCUACGGGAGGCAGCAGUGGGGAAUAUUUGGAAAUUGGCGAAAGCCCGAUUCAGGCCAGCCGGGGGUUUGAAGAAGGUCCUUCGAUUUGUAAACCCCUUUAGGUGGGAAGAAGGGAAGUAAGUUUAUACCUUGCCGUUUUGACGGUACCAAAAGAAUAAGCACCGGCUAACUUCGUG